rnacentral:rRNA from 1 species
AACCUGCCUUUCAGAGGGGGAUAACAUUUGGAAACAGAUGCUAAUACCGCAUAAGAUUACAGUACCGCAUGAUACAGUGAUCAAAGGAGCAAUCCGCUGAAAGAUGGGCUCGCGUCCGAUUAGAUAGUUGGUGAGGUAACGGCUCACCAAGUCGACGAUCGGUAGCCGGACUGAGAGGUUGAACGGCCACAUUGGGACUGAGACACGGCCCAGACUCCUACGGGAGGCAGCAGUGGGGAAUAUUGCACAAUGGGCGAAAGCCUGAUGCAGCAACGCCGCGUGAGGGAAGACGGUUUUCGGAUUGUAAACCUCUGUUUUCGGUGACGAACAAAUGACGGUAACCGAGUAGGAAGCCACGGCUAACUACGUGCCAGCAGCCGCGGUAAUACGUAGGUGGCAAGCGUUAUCCGGAAUUACUGGGUGUAAAGGGAGCGCAGGCGGGAUAGCAAGUCAGCUGUGAAAACUAUGGGCUCAACCCAUAAACUGCAGUUGAAACUGUUAUUCUUGAGUGGAGUAGAGGCAAGCGGAAUUCCGAGUGUAGCGGUGAAAUGCGUAGAUAUUCGGAGGAACACCAGUGGCGAAGGCGGCUUGCUGGGCUCUAACUGACGCUGAGGCUCGAAAGUGUGGGGAGCAAACAGGAUUAGAUACCCUGGUAGUCCACACUGUAAACGAUGAUGGCUAGGUGUGGGGGGUCUGACCCCCUCCGUGCCGGAUUUAACGC